rnacentral:rRNA from 1 species
AUUGAACGCUGGCGGCAGGCUUAACACAUGCAAGUCGAGCGGGGUGAUGGUGCUUGCACUAUCACUUAGCGGCGGACGGGUGAGUAAUGCUUAGGAAUCUGCCUAUUAGUGGGGGACAACAUCUCGAAAGGGAUGCUAAUGCCGCAUACGUCCUACGGGAGAAAGCAGGGGAUCACUUGUGACCUUGCGCUAAUAGAUGAGCCUAAGUCGGAUUAGCUAGUUGGUGGGGUAAAGGCCUACCAAGGUGACGAUCUGUAGCGGGUCUGAGAGGAUGAUCCGCCACACUGGGACUGAGACACGGCCCAGACUCCUACGGGAGGCAGCAGUGGGGAAUAUUGGACAAUGGGGGGAACCCUGAUCCAGCCAUGCCGCGUGUGUGAAGAAGGCCUUAUGGUUGUAGAGCACUUUAAGCGAGGAGGAGGCUCUUUUGGUUAAUACCCAAGAUGAGUGGACGUUACUCGCAGAAUAAGCACCGGCUAACUCUGUGCCAGCAGCCGCAGUAA